rnacentral:rRNA from 1 species
AGAGUUUGAUCCUGGCUCAGGAUGAACGCUGGCGGCAUGCCUAAUACAUGCAAGUCGAACGGAAAUGACUUCGGUUAUUUCAGUGGCGAACGGGUGAGUAACACGUGAGUAACUUGCCCCAAAGACGAGGAUAACCAAUGGAAACGUUGGCUAAAACUCGAUAGGACGAAUCAUCGCAUGAUGACUCGUUUAAAGGCGCUUUAUUGCGACACUUUGGGAGGGACUUGCGCAGCAUUAGCUAGUUGGUAGGGUAGAGGCCUACCAAGGCAACGAUGCUUAGCUGGAUUGAGAGGUUGAACAGCCACACUGGAACUGAGACACGGUCCANACUCCUACGGGAGGCAGCAGUAGGGAAUUUUCGUAAUGGGGGGAACCCUGAACGAGCAAUGCCGCGUGAACGAUGAAGGUCUUCGGAUUGUAAAGUUCUGUUAUUAGGGAANAAAGAUUGUGAUAGGCAAUGAUCACAAGAUGACGGUACCUAACGAGAAAGCUCCGGCUAACUACGUGCCAGCAGCCGCGGUAAUACGUAGGGAGCAAGCGUUAUCCGGAAUUAUUGGGCGUAAAGCGUGCGCAGGUGGUUAGAUUAGUCAAAUGUGAAAGCCCACGGCUUAACCGUGGAGGGUCAUUUGAAACUGUCUAACUAGAGUACGGUAGAGGUUAGUGGAAUUCAAUGUGUAGCGGUAAAAUGCGUANAUAUAUUGAGGAACACCAGUGGCGAAGGCGGCUAACUGGACCGGAACUGACACUGAGGCACGAAAGCGUGGGUAGCAAACAGGAUUAGAUACCCUGGUAGUCCNCGCCGUAAACGAUGAGAACUAAGUGUUGGGG